UUGAACGCUGGCGGCAGGCCUAACACAUGCAAGUCGAGCGGCAGCGCGGGGCAACCUGGCGGCGAGCGGCGGACGGGUGAGUAACGCGUAGGAAUCUACCCAGUAGCGGGGGAUAGCCCGGGGAAACUCGGAUUAAUACCGCAUACGCCCUAAGGGGGAAAGCAGGGGAUCUUCGGACCUUGCACUAUUGGCAGAGCCUGCGUUGGAUUAGCUAGUUGGUAGGGUAAAGGCCUACCAAGGCAACGGUCCAUAACUGGUCUGAGAGGAUGAUCAGUCACACCGGAACUGAGACACGGUCCGGACUCCUACGGGAGGCAGCAGUGGGGAAUAUUGGACAAUGGGGGCAACCCUGAUCCAGCCAUGCCGCGUGUGUGAAGAAGGCCUUCGGGUUGUAAAGCACUUUAAGUGGGGAGAAAGGUUCGGCAGUUAAUACCUGCCGGAAGUGAUGUUACCCACAGAAUAAGCACCGGCUAACUCUGUGCCAGCAGCCGCAGUAA
rnacentral:rRNA from 1 species